rnacentral:rRNA from 1 species
MGMWKWCGCCCUUAGAGUUUGAUCCUGGCUCAGAACGAACGCUGGCGGCGUGCUUAACACAUGCAAGUCGAACGUGAUUCAGAGCUUGCUCUGAUGAAAGUGGCGCACGGGUGAGUAACGCGUGGAUAACCUGCCCUGGUAUCUGGGAUAACAUCUCGAAAGGGGUGCUAAUACCGGAUAAGCCCACGGGUUCUUCGGAAUCUGCGGGAAAAGAAGGCCUCUAUUUAUAAGCUUUCGUAUCACGAUGGGUCCGCGUACCAUUAGCUAGUUGGUGGGGUAAUGGCCUACCAAGGCGACGAUGGUUAGCUGGUCUGAGAGGAUGAUCAGCCACACUGGAACUGAGACACCGUCCAGACUCCUACGGGAGGCAGCAGUGGGGAAUUUUGCGCAAUGGGGGAAACCCUGACGCAGCAACGCCGCGUGAGUGAUGAAGGCUUUCGGGUCGUAAAGCUCUGUCAGAGGGGAAGAAAUGGGUCGUGCUAAUAUCACGGCUUCUUGACGGUWSCCUCAAAGGAAGCACCGGCUAACUCCKUGCCAGCAGCCGCGGUAAUAC